ensembl:lncRNA
GCAGACAGGAAGUUUGGAUGUACACAUGCAGCCUAUUCUUGUUCCCCCACCCAAAACCCCAGCGCCCAAAGCCUGAAACUGGGGGAAGGGAGGCAGAAGGAGAGGAGGGUUUGGGUUGGGGGGAAUUUUAAACUGACUCCGAGUCUGGCCGCCUUGGUUCCCUCGGAGAUUGGAAACCUUUUUCUUCCCUCGAGUGUUUCACCCCCACCGGCUGCAAAGGGCCUUGUCCCUUGAGAAAUGAGAAAUCAAAUCCAGAGAAAAGCAGACACCUGCCCCGGAAGGGGGAGGGGGCGAGCUUUUCAGCAUCCGGACGCGGCCCUUCCCGGCGGCUGGAUCCAUCCAUCUGUGGGAGCUCCGAGUUGUCCCAGCCGAGCGGUUGGGGAGGAGGACAGCCGGCGGCCGGGGCCGGGCAAAGUUACGGGAUUCCUAGCAGCCCCCAGGCGCGCGGCCAGAGUGGCUCCGCGCUUGCGCGAGAACCCAGCGCCAGAAGGGCACGUGGAAAUUCUCCGCCAAAGCGCCUUGCCCGGGCGAGUGCUCAACUCGGUGAUUUAUAAACAGCUCAGCCACUCCCCAAAGACCUCCGCUCCUCGUUAGUCAUGAUGAAUUCUCCGGCCCGUUCCACUUUGCUGUCUAGAUUAAGAUGCUCGGAGGCCCCAAAGUGCUCCCCUUGAGCGUUGAUUUGGCUUCCCUCACAAACUCACGAUCGCCGGCAACGCCAGCACUAAAGGCAACGACGGAGGGUCGGAGGGCGGAGGUCCAGACCGCUGCGCUGUUAGAACAGGCAACUCCUCCGCUCCUGAACAAGUAGUCUCUUACAAAACCGAGGCGCCGGUGGAGCCUGCCUUUAAUGGGGUCCUCACUCCGAGGUGCUGGAAGACCAUCCGGUCUGGAACCUAAAAGGAGGAGAUCUGGCGCUAGCGGGGUGGGGAGAGGCGAAUAAAAGCACCUUUGGGGAGGCAAAAGUGUCACACCUGGAGCAAGAAGCACAUGGGCACUGAAAUUCUAAUAGUUGGGGAAAGGAGACUUCAACGUGUGUGUGUG